UGAACUGAAUUAAUCAUAACUGCGAAGACUAAUGGUACGUUUUCUCUUACUUUAUCUUUAGUGCCUUUCAGAUCAUGUUUUAAAACCUUCCACGUCUGGCGUUGGGAACGCAGCCGCGGCUUGGUGCUGGAUAGCAAGAGGCAAAGGAAGAAAAGCACAGCACUUCUCCAGACCAAAGGCAAAGGCAGGUGCAUACAACGGCCUCCCACAGAGCAGCGGUGUCAGUGGACGGAGGUGUGUCCAUGGCCCUCGUGGGCUGCCCAGCGCUGUGUGGGUAUCCCCAUUGCUCACGCCAUCCCCAGCUUCCUAUUUCUCUUGCAACUGGGACAUCAGGAGAGGCUUUGCGUCGAACUGUCUGCCCAGGGGACGGUGGUAUGGAGCACAGAGUCAUUUCACGGUGCUGCAGUCUCACAAUCACGGGUGCCCACCCGUCCUGCUCUGUGCUUCCCGUGUGGCCCCCAUGAGCACCUGCCUCCAUGCCACAGCCACAUCGUGCUAAGGCAGAGUUACAAGGGGCAACCACAAGUUCACGUGCAGGUGGUGUGAUAACCCAUUAGUGGAAACUUCCGCCCAAAUACAAAUAGAUGCAAAGUCCGGCAACGACAAAGUGUGCCCUCUUCCAUGCCCUCACGUGCUGCAUGAGGAGAGGAUGGGCACAGGCAGCGGGUGAGGAGUAGGCCCAGCUUUUGCUAACCGCAGGUGCAGCUGCUUCUUUCUGCCUAGCCAGGAGGGAGCACCUGGGGAUGCCUACUGCUUGUGCUGGUGUUGGUGUAACUGACACCACUGGUGUCCUAUCCAGAACCCUCCUCUCUUUUUACCAGCUUCUGUGUACUCUGCCCUUAGCAAUCCCACAUGCCAGCUUUCUCAGAAGGCUGCCUUUUUGGCUCUGGAAACUUUUGACCUGAGUGGGGAACUGGAACUACCUGGGGGAAUUCUAUCUUUCUCCUAGGACCCAGAAUGGCCCAUGGUCAAGGAUUGUCUGCGCGGGAGGAAGAAGGCCGAGCUCUUCGCCUAGGAAGGGCAGCACAAACUUCAAGGUAUAAUUUAUGAUUUAACAAAUGCUAGUCUAAAUAAUUGAGACCAUGUUUGAAAAACCUAAUUCAAAUGUUAAAAAAUAACUUGAAGAUAAGUGAUAUUUUCAAAUAUAUAUGUAAUGCAAAAAUUAAUAAUCCAAAUAGAAAAUCUCAGUUCAUGUAGCAGUGGUCUAAGGAGCAUUUGGGGAAGAAACAAUCUCAUGGGGUCUAGAGGAAAAGAAGAAAAAUGUGCUAACUACAGUGUGUUAAAAAGGAGAACCCAGAGACACAAUUUCCCUUCCCUCUUUAAAAAUUAAGGGCGCCUGGGUGGCUCAGUGGGUUGGGCCGCUGCCUUCGGCUCAGGUCAUGAUCUCAAGGUCCUGGGAUCGAGUCCCACAUCGGGCUCUCUGCUCAGAGGGGAGCCUGCUUCCCCCUCUCUCUAUGCCUACUUGUGAUCUCUCUCUGUCAAAUAAAUAAAUAAAAAAUCUUAAAAAACAAAAAAAAACCAAAAAAAAACUUCAUUCCUUUAAAAAAAAUUAGGAAAAUGCGGGAGUUAAACAUAGAGGUUAAAGAUUACUUUUGAAGCACUUAAAACCACUUAGUACUUGAAUUCUAAACUGGAUCAGGGCUUACUGAAUACUAUCACAAAUAAAAUAGAUUUUAGAGAUCAAGGAUAGGACAGGAACGGAAACAAAAAAGCCAAGGGGGGAAAUAAAAGCUAAAAUAAGAUAAACAAGAUCAUGCAAAAUGAAGUAAGAAAAUGUGGGGACAGAAUACUGGCAUCAGACAAAAUAGAAUUGAAGCCAAAAAUGUUAGUUACAGCAGAGGAACUAUUUUUUUUUUUUGGAUGAAUGAUGUAUACUAUUCAUCAUGAAUGAUGAAUGAUGCUCAGUCACUUGUAAAUUCUUUUCUUAGAUUUAGUCAAUAAAUACUGAGCCAGAGCUGGUGAUUCAAUGUUAAGCAAGGCAGAUAGGAUUCCUUGUCUUCACUGGGCUCACAGUCUCAUAGACUGAACUAGUCAUGGAUGCUAACAUGCCAAGUGACAUUCGGGUGAAAUAUGGUAAGCAAAUUAUCAGGAGAAGAAGUAGAAAGAUCCACGGUUGUACUAGAAAACUUUAAGACAUCUUUUUUGGUAUUUGGCAGAUUUUGUAGGCAAAGAUUCCAUGGCUUGAGGUGGUUUCAAAUAAUAAAAUUGUUUCUUAAAUUGAGAUGUUUCUUAAAAUGAGAGAUUAUAUCAGAGCCCAUGAAGUACUCAUAAAACAUAUAUUGGCUAGAAAGAGAGAAUCUAACAAUUCUCGGUAACUCUAUCUUACAAAAGGAACAAAAAGCAUCAUUGAAAAUCUUAAUUAUUUUAAUUUAAGAAAAUUAUUAAAACCUCUCUGAAAUAACUUCUAAUUCAAAGAGGAAAUCAAAGCAAUACUGAGGGGCCAUUAGGAAAUAAGGACAAUGAUAAUACCAUCAAUUGGAAUUUGUGGUUUUGGUCAAAGCUACACUAAGAGGAAAAUAUAUAGCCUUAAAUACCAAAUCAUUAACAUAGAAUAAAAAUACACGAAUUAAGUAUCCAACUCACAAUAAAUUAGAAGGACAACAACAAGAUACACCUGGAAAGAUAUUGAUAAAGACAAAGCAGAAGGUUUUUCAAAGAAUAAGAGUGGGAGAAAGACAUUUGAGAAGUUAUUCAAGUGAAACAGAGUGAAAAAACACAUGUGAUAGCAUUAGAAAUAAAAGAGAAAUAUUCAUAUAUUCCAAAAAGUUAAAAGAUGGUAGAAAAUAUAGUAUAUAUUAACAUAGAUGUGUUGAAAUGGAUGAUUUUCUAGGAAAUUUUAUGUGAUGAAUUUUAAUGGUAGAAUAGUUGAAUAACAAAGGAAGGAAGUGAAAAAAGUGUUAAAACAGAUGCUUGAAUAGGAAAUUUAUUUAAAUCUCUUAAGGGGAAGAGGAUGAUCAUACAAUAAUUAUAGAUGGAAAGCUUCCCAAUUCACUGUAUAAAGCAAGCAUAAUUUUACAGUGAACCUAAUAAAAGUAGUAAACAAAGCCUACAGGUCAACCUCCCUUGUAAACAUAAAUGUAAAAAUCUGCAUGUAUUGCAUGGAGCACUGGGUGGGGUGCAUAAACAAUGAAUUUUGGAACACUGAAAAGAAAUAAAAAAUAAAAAUUAAAAAAAACCCUUUGUAUGUAUAUCUAUGUCUUACUACAUCUAUAUCUAAGCUUUAUUGAGGUAUAAUUGAGAUGCAGAAAAUCUCAUGCCUGUAAUAUAUACAUCUCAGUGUGAUUAGACAUAUGCAUAUACCCGUGAUACUGUCAUACUGUCACUACAGUCAAAGGACUAAAUAUAUCCAUCACCUCCAAACAUUUCCUAAUGUUCUUUCUUUUGUGUGUGUGUGUGUGUGUGUGUGUGUGUGUGUGUAUUUGGUGGUAAAAACACUUAACAUGACAUCUGUCCUCUUAAUGUAUUUUAAAAUAUGCAAUAUAGUGUUGUUAACCAUAAAUACUCUGUUGUAUAGCAGAUCUCUAGAACUUGCUCAUCUUGUAUAACUGAAAUUUUAUACCAGUUGAAUGACAGUUCCCCAUUUCCUCGUCCUCUCAGCCUCUGGCACACAUCCUUACAUUUUCUGCUUCUAUGCAGUUGACAAUUUUAGAUACCUCAUCUAAGUAGAAUCUUGUAGUGUUUAUCCUCCUGUGACUGGCAUAUUUCACUUAUAAUAUCCUCUGCAUUCAUCCCUGUUGUCAAAAAUGGCAAGAUUUCCCCCUCUCUCUCUCUUUUUGAGAUUGAAAAGGCUUUUAAUGAAAAGUUUAAAUUACUCUUCCAUCUUAAAAAAAUGCUUUGUCAGUAGCCCUACAAAUAGUGAACUCAGUAGAAUUUUGGAUUAUGCAAAAUAUGAUUCCAUAAGUUUUAAGAAACAUAUUUCCAAGUAACUUUUCCCCUUGUACCAAACUAGUUUUUGAGUUUUUAAAAAAUAAUUUUUAUUAACAUAUAAUGUAUUAUUUACCCCAGGGUACAGGUCUGUGAAUCAUCAGGCUUACACAAUUCACAGCAUUCACCAUAGCAAUUACCCUCCCCAGUGUCCAUAACCCAGCCACCCUAUCCCUUCCUCACCACCCCCCACAACCCUCAGUUUGUUUCAUGAGAUUAAGAGUCUCUUAUAGUUUGUCUUCUUCCUGAUCCCAUCUUGUUUCAUUUUUUUCCCUCUCUACCCCUACAACACCCAUGACCCCCACCUUGCCUCUCCAAUUCCUAAUAUCAGAGAGAUCAUAUAAUAAUUGUCAUUCUCUGAUUGACUUACUUCACUUAGCAUAAUUCCCUCUAGUUCUAUCCACAUUGCAAAUGGCAAGAUGUCAUUUCUUUUGAUGGCUGCAUAGUAUUCCAAGUAAUAUAACACACACACAUAUAUGCCACAUCUUCUUUAUCCAUUCAUUUGUUGAUGGACAUCUAGGUUCUUUCCAUAGUUUGGCUAUUGUGGACAUUGCUGCUAUAAACAUUUGGGUGCACAUGCCCCUUCGGAUCACUACGUUUGUAUCAUUAGGGUAAAUACCCAGUAGGGCUGGGUCAUAGGGUAGCUCUAUUUUCAACUUUCUGAGGAACCUGCAUACUGUUUUCCAGAAUGGCUGAACCAGCUUGCAUUCCCACCAAUAGUGUAGGAGGGUUCCCCUUUCUCCACAUCCUCGCCAAAUCUGUUGUUUCCUGACUUGUUAGUUUUAGCCAUUUUGAGUGGUAUGAGGUGGUAUCUCAUUGUGGUUUUGAUUUAUAUUUCUCUGAUGCCAAGUGAUAUUGAGCACUUUUUCAUGUGUCUGUUGACCAUUUGGAUGUCUUCUUUGCAGAAAUUUCUGUUCAUGUCUUCCCAUUUCUGGAUUGGAUUAUUUGUUUUUUGGGUGUUGAGUUUGAUAAAUUCUUUAUAGAUUUUGGAUACUAGCCCUUUAUCUGACAUGUCAUUUGCAAAUAUCU
rnacentral:lncRNA from 1 species